UACGUAGGGGGCAAGCGUUGUCCGGAAUCAUUGGGCGUAAAGAGCGUGUAGGCGGCCCGAUAAGUCCGCUGUGAAAGUCCAGGGCUCAACCCUGGGAUGCCGGUGGAUACUGCAGGGCUAGAGUCCGGAAGAGGCGAGUGGAAUUCCUGGUGUAGCGGUGAAAUGCGCAGAUAUCAGGAGGAACACCUAUUGCGAAGGCAGCUCGCUGGGACGUAACUGACGCUGAGACGCGAAAGCGUGGGGAGCAAACAGG
rnacentral:rRNA from 1 species